rnacentral:rRNA from 1 species
CAAGGAAUUUUCGGCAAUGGGGGAAACCCUGACCGAGCAACGCCGCGUGCAGGAUGACGGCCUUCGGGUUGUAAACUGCUUUUGCUACGGAAGAAAUGGACGGUACGUGGCGAAUCAGCCCCGGCUAACUCUGUGCCAGCAGCCGCGGUAAUACAGAGGGGGCAAGCGUUGUCCGGAUUGACUGGGCGUAAAGGGUCCGUAGGCGGCCAAUCAGGUGGGGUGUGACAUCUCCGUGCUUAACACGGAAGGGCCGCUCCAAACCGAUAGGCUUGAGGGGUGCAGAGGUCGGUGGAAUUGCCAGUGUAGCAGUGAAAUGCGUAGAGAUUGGCAGGAACACCAAGGGCGCAAGCAGCCGACUGGGCACCGUCUGACGCUGAGGGACGACAGCGUGGGGAGCGAA